SUNCCCUCAAACUUAGUCCUCUUCGUUUACGGCGUGAACUACGGUGGUACUCACCGGUUAGGCCCCACCGGUUUCGCGCUCCAUUUGUCUAUCCCGACAGGAUGAAAAGCCGCCUUCGCCGAAGGCUGUUCCUCCAUAUGCUCCACAUUUCAGCGCUACUCUUGGCAAUUUGCCCACCGACUCUGAUACCAUAAUCUCCUCAUUGUCAUCCACCGAUGUAAUUAACGGCCCCUAAAGGAAACUUCCAAGGGAUCAGGGGCUUUUUGCACACCCUUGCUGAUAAUUUCCCUCCACGGGCUGAAUGGCCCCGGGGACUGAUAUCUUGGCCAAACGUGCCCAGGUGGUAAAGGCCCAUGGAGAAUUCCCCAAGAAGGUGUGUUCAACUACGAAGCUUUAACUGGCAACAAC
rnacentral:rRNA from 1 species